ensembl:lincRNA
CUGAAAUUCCUUUACCCUAACAAAUGGAUGCUUUACUUCAAAUUUUAAGUAGAAAAACAUUCAAAUUGGAAUUUCAAAAGCAAUUUUUUUCCAGAAAUAAUUCUUUGGGUUUAACUAUUAGCAAUCCCUUCUAGUUCUUGAUGCUUUCUUGGUAGAGCCAGCUUGAAGUAAUUUUUUUUUUUUUAAAUCCUUGGCUGAUUGCGUGACAUGCAGUGCAAGUCAUGCUUCCUUUCAGACCUUGGUUUCUCAUCUUGACUCAUAGGCCAUGUUAGCGAGCUGUGCUGCAGAGCUCCGAUGCCCUUCGUGGAACUAUCGUCUGAGACGGCCUCACAUAGCACUCAUGAACUUCAUGUGGUUGCUGUCCCAGAUCUGGGCUUCUGUGUUGGUGAUGAGGACUGUCUUCCAUCCUUUAGAAAAGAUCACGCGCAGUCUGUGCUCCAGUUGGUGCAAGCCCGAGGUGUCCUAGUUUGCCUUCUAUUGCUGUGAUAAAGACCACGACCAAAAGCGACUUCAGGAGGAAAGCAUUUGUUUGGCAAACUCGUUCUGAUCACACAGUGAUGGGACACUAGCCCACGCGAACAUGUGACUCUGGCAGACCUUGCCCUUCUCCCCCAUUCCCUCUGUCCUACUAAAAAAAUCGUUAGAGUGCAUUCCUAAAGCUGGCCCCCAAGGUCUAUUCCCUUAUUUGGCCGCUUCCUCCUCCUGAGGCUGACUACCAAGGUCCAGUUACUGAAGUGUUGAGGUCCAACAGUCAAAAGCCCCCUUGGCUACCCUAAUUAACACGCCCAAUUAAAAUUUAACAUGGGAUUUCCCCUCCCCCCCCUUUCCUUUAUAAACUAUCGUUUGCCUAUGGGACACGUCUGUCUCUCUCUAUCCAGAGGCAGUCCUUUGUCCCUCCAGAACAAAUACCCUUCCUCCUUUCCUUGUGCCCUAUCUCCUUUAUCAUUCUAACACAGACACCCCUGCCCCCUUCUCCUCUUAAAAAACAGACCUGCAAGGUCUUUAGCUGCUGUUUUCGGCCUGAGUCAGAAAGCAGCCACUUUAACUUUUUUUUCCUGACAUAAUAAAGUAUCUCUGUGAAGACAAGUGUUUGGCUGUGACUUGUGCCUAAUCCGGGGUCUGGGAGGAAGCCCCCACUGUUUUUUUUUUGGGGGGGUGUCUCCUUCACACAGUCCUUCACUGAGGGAAGUGAAGCCAGGGCAGGAACUCAGGUAGGGCCAACAACUUGGAGGUGGGAAUUGAAGCAGACACCAUGAGAAACGCUGCUUACUGGCUUGCUUCCAGGCUUCUUAUACAG